GUUAUACAUUUUAUAAAAAUAUUUAAUAUUUUUAUUAUUGAUAAAGUAUAAAGAACAAAUUAGUGUGAAAACGCAGAUUAUAAAAAGUACAUAAAGUGCCAGCAGAGGAUCCAAAAUAAUGAAAAAAAAAAAACAUCCAAUGCAACUUGGAAAUUGUAGUCAAAAUACAUCUACAGCAGCAUGCUAAAGCAGUACCAACGCCAGGGCAAAAGACUCAAAUUCCCAGAAUGCACCUGCACCCACCCAUUCAUUCCCACCAAUCAGGAUCAACGGCAUUUUUCAAACCGCUACUGACUCGUUUUCAUGCUAAACAGUACGGCUGAGAGGUCAUGUACCAUGUGGUCGACCUUGCUGACGCUGAAGAGGUUUCUGUGUAAAAAUGAUGACAUUGAGACAAACAGACCAGUUCUGGCUGCCGUGGAGGUCAACACACCACUGAUCUACUGGCUGCCCUUCAACGUGAUGCCCAGCCGAUGCCUGACCACCGACGGAACUAGGGCUGCACGAUAAGUCGCAUGUGUUUGUCAGGCGCAUCUCCUCAGUAAUGCCGGUUCCUUGAUUAGUAUUAAAUCGCCAUCAGCUGUUUUCAGAUGUAGCAGCUUUAACUACACAGAGCCGUAGUUCACUGACAAUCGGGGCAAUUUCGCAUUAAUUAUCGCGGACGUAUCGGCUGCGAUAUGUAUGCGAUAUGGCCCAGCUUGUCAGGGAACUACGGCUCUGUAGUUAAAGCUGCUCCAUC